GGGCGUUUGGCGCAGAUGGUAGCGCGUGGGAAUCAGAAAAACCUUAUAACCCAAGGUCGCGAGUUCGAGCCUCGCAACGCCCA
rnacentral:tRNA from 1 species